rnacentral:ncRNA from 1 species
AAACAGGAAGAGCAAACCUGGCGAAAGUCGGAGACACAAAGCUACAUGGUCUAAAAUGCAGACAAGUAUUACGACAGCCUGGCCGCCGUA